UGGGGAAUAUUGCACAAUGGGCGACAGCCUGAUGCAGCGACGCCGCGUGAGGGAUGAAGGCCUUCGGGUUGUAAACCUCUUUCAGCAGGGAAGAAGCGCAAGUGACGGUACCUGCAGAAGAAGCGCCGGCUACCUACGUGCCAGCAGCCGCGGUAAUACGUAGGGCGCAAGCGUUGUCCGGAAUUAUUGGGCGUAAAGAGCUCGUAGGCGGUUUGUCGCGUCUGGUGUGAAAACUAGAGGCUCAACCUCGAGCUUGCAUCGGGUACGGGCAGACUAGAGUGCGGUAGGGGAGACUGGAAUGCCUGGUGUAGCGGUGGAAUGCGCAGAUAUCAGGAGGAACACCGAUGGCGAAGGCAGGUCUCGGGGCCGCAACUGACGCUGAGGAGCGAAAGCAUGGGGAGCGAACA
rnacentral:rRNA from 1 species